GAUGAACGCUAGCUACAGGCUUAACACAUGCAAGUCGAGGGGCAGCAUGAACUUAGCUUGCUAAGUUUGAUGGCGACCGGCGCACGGGUGAGUAACACGUAUCCAACCUUCCGUUUACUCAGGGAUAGCCUUUCGAAAGAAAGAUUAAUACCUGAUAGUAUGGUGAGAUUGCAUGAUAGCACCACUAAAGAUUUAUUGGUAAACGAUGGGGAUGCGUUCCAUUAGG
rnacentral:rRNA from 1 species